GGAUUAGAUACCCUGGUAGUCCACGCCGUAAACGAUGAGUGCUAGGUGUUGGAUCCUUUCCGGGAUUCAGUGCCGAAGCUAACGCAUUAAGCACUCCGCCUGGGGAGUACGACCGCAAGGUUGAAACUCAAAGGAAUUGACGGGGGCCCGCACAAGCGGUGGAGCAUGUGGUUUAAUUCGAAGCAACGCGAAGAACCUUACCAGGUCUUGACAUCCCGAUGCUAUUUCUAGAGAUAGAAAGUUACUUCGGUACAUCGGUGACAGGUGGUGCAUGGUUGUCGUCAGCUCGUGCCG
rnacentral:rRNA from 1 species